GAUGAACGCUGGCGGCGUGCCUAAUACAUGCAAGUCGAGCGAACAGACGAGGAGCUUGCUCCUCUGACGUUAGCGGCGGACGGGUGAGUAACACGUGGAUAACCUACCUAUAAGACUGGGAUAACUUCGGGAAACCGGAGCUAAUACCGGAUAAUAUAUUGAACCGCAUGGUUCAAUAGUGAAAGACGGUUUUGCUGUCACUUAUAGAUGGAUCCGCGCCGCAUUAGCUAGUUGGUAAGGUAACGGCUUACCAAGGCAACGAUGCGUAGCCGACCUGAGAGGGGGGUCCGCCAACACGGAAACUGGGACAGGUCCAAAACCCUAAGGGAAGGAAGAGGUGGGAAACUUCCGGAAUGGGCGGAAGCCUGAAGGAGCAACCGCGCGGUGGGGAAGAAAGUCCUCGGAUCGGAAAACCCUGUUAUUUGGGAAAAAACAAUGUGGAAGUAACUAUGCACGUCUUGACGGUACCUAAUCAGAAAGCCACGGCUAACUACGUG
rnacentral:rRNA from 1 species